UACGGGGGGAGCAAGCGUUGUUCGGAUUUACUGGGCGUAAAGGGCGCGUAGGCGGUCAGCACAAGUCAGUUGUGAAAUCUCCGGGCUUAACUCGGAAAGGUCAACUGAUACUGUGCGACUAGAGUGCAGAAGGGGCAACUGGAAUUCCUGGUGUAGCGGUGAAAUGCGCAGAUAUCUGGAGGAACACCGGUGGCGAAGGCGGCAUCCUGGACCGAGAUUGACGCUGAGGCACGAAGGCCAGGGGAGCAAACGGG
rnacentral:rRNA from 1 species